rnacentral:tRNA from 1 species
UCCCUGGAGGAUUAGUGGUUAGGCCACGGUGCUCUCAAUGCUGUGGCCUGGGUUCAUUUCCCGGCCAGGGAA